rnacentral:rRNA from 1 species
AGAGUNCCUGGUGNCGGGGNAUANAUACGAAAANCAGUAGCUAAUACCANNNAGANUCGCAAGANNANAGAGGGGNACNUUCGACCUUUCGCUAUCAGAUGAUCCCAGUUGGUAUUAGCUAGUAGGUGGGGUAANGGCUCACCUAGGCGAUGAUCCNUAGCNGNUNUGAGAGGANGNNCAGCCACACUGGAANUGAGACACGGNCCAGANUCNUACGGGAGGCAGCAGUGGGGAAUAUUGNCCAAUGGGGGCAACCCUGACCCAGCCANGCCGCGUGNGUGAAGAAGNCUUUCGGAUGGUAAACCUCUUUAGGGAGGGAGGAACGUUAUGAGGUUAAUAACNUNAUCAAUGGACGUUACUCGCAGAAGAAGCACCGGCUAACUCUGUGCCAGCAGCCGCGGUAAUACAGAGGGUGCCAGCGUUAAUCGGAAUUACUGGGCGUAAAGCGCGCGCAGGCGGUUUGUUAAGUCUGAUGUGAAAUCCCCGGGCUUAACCCGGGAAGUGCAUUCGAAACUGGCAGGCUAGAGUCUGGAAAAGGAGGGUAGAAUUCCAGGUGUAGCGGUGAAAUGCGUAAAGAUCUGGAGGAAUACCGAUGGCGAAGGCGGCCCCCUGGCCGAACACUGACGCUAAGGUGCGAAAGCGUGGGGAGCAAACAGGAUUAAAUACCCUGGUAUUCCACGCCGUAAACGAUGUCUACUAGCAGGUGGGGCCUAUGAGGCGUUGCUGCCGCACCUAACGCGUUAACUCUACCGCCGGGGGAGUACAGCCGCAAGGUUAAAACUCAAAUGAAUUGACGGGGGCCCGCACAACCGGUGAAGCAGGUGGUUUAAUUCNAUGCAACGCGAAAAACCUUACCUGGCCUUGACAUCCCGAGAACUUUCCAGAGAUGGAUUGUUGCCUUCGGAAACUCUAAUACAGGUGCUGCAUGGCUGUCGUCANCUCNUGUCGUGAAAUGUUGGGUUAANUCCCGCAACGAGCGCAACCCUUNUCCUUAGUUGCCA